CCCUUAGAUGUUCUGGGCCGCACGCGCGCUACACUGACGGAUUCAACGAGCUUACAACCUUGGCCGAAAGGUCUGGGUAAUCUCCAAAAUCCGUCGUGAUGGGGAUAGAUUAUUGCAAUUAUUAAUCUUCAACGAGGAAUGCCUAGUAAGCGCAAGUCAUCAGCUUGCGUUGAAUACGUCCCUGCCCUUUGUACACACCGCCCGUCGCUCCUACCGAUGAAUCGUCCGGUGAAGUUCACAGAGUGGCGGUUCGUGGAGUUGCUCGCGAAGUGAAAUGGACCUCACGAUUUAGAGGAAGGAGAAGUCGUAACA
rnacentral:rRNA from 1 species